UAGAAGAUUCCAAGCAAGAAAGUAUUCAGCAGUGGCUGGACUCUGGAUUCUUUGUCUCUGCAAAUGAAAACUUUCAACAAGUCAUUGACCGCACUGGUAAGACAAGAGAAGCAGUUAUGCUUUGGGAAGCUGAGUAGGAGAUAUAUUCAAAUAUCUACGUGAAUAAAUCUUCUUAAAAUGAGCAUUAUCAGAGGCUUCUAGAAAUGAUCAGCCCUCAAAAACUAUCCAGCUCAAUCUCUUCAUUUGACAUAUGACUGCGACAAAAAUGAUAGGUGCUUCCCCAGCAGCAGGUUAAGGGCCGAACCCAGGGCUCUUGCCAUAUCAUCAAUGGCUCAGAGUAUAGCAUAAACUCACUGGGUUCUAUGAAGACAUUUGCAAGGAUGUAGUUAUGAAAAUGAAAUUGUUUAAUUUUCCCCAUCCUGUAUUAUACUUUUAUUUCUGAAUCUAGAUUUUUUCUAUUCUUUGGUCUCAAAAUUGCACUUACAUUCUCUCUUUCUAAUAAUGCACUUGUUCUCAAGAAGAAUAAAUGUCUGAAUUC
rnacentral:lncRNA from 10 species